GGGUCCCUGCUCAGGUCAGGAUAGCGUCCAACUUUUAAUCCGCGGGUCGUGGGUUCGAUACCCACGGGGCCCA
rnacentral:tRNA from 1 species